ensembl:lncRNA
UGUAUCAUUACUUGAAACAUCCCAAUCCUCCAAAGCGGCAUUGUAUAGUAUUGACAAUUGUACUUUGUCAUAGGAUUUAUUUAAAUUGUGUCCCACAUGCGUGUAACGUGGACACGCGUCAGGUGCGUGUAACCCGCUGUGAACCCACGUUAGCCCACGUGCAACGAGACGAGAUGAAAGCAAAGUGCUGCUGCAUUUAAAAUGAUUUGGUCAACUUACCUCCAUGUGGCCUCAAUGGGGGAGCAGCGACCUCGCAGCCAAAUCCAGCUCGAUAAACAAUGUCAACCUGAAUAUUUCCGUUUUCUGCUUGAACAUGUUAUAGUUUGAACUCAGUUCUUUUUUCAAUGAAAUAUUUUUUUUCAAUCUUCACUUUUUUUUAAUAUUUGCUGCAUUGUAAUUUUCAGUUGCAGAUUUUAUGCUUUCAGAUUAAAAUGUUGUAAAAAAGUUUUUUUUUUUUCACAUUGAGACUUUUGACCCUGAUGUUGAUGUUUAUAUAUAAGUAUUAUGUAAUAAGUAUUAUACAAAUACUAUACAGAUUAUUUCAGAGUUUACAUGAAAGCUUGACUAUUUUAAGCCACCAUCAUAAAUUAUGGUGGAGGAAAUUGCUCAAUAAAUGAAUGAAAUCAUAUUUCCAAUUGUCUCGGCCUAGUAAUGGUAUUAUUUAGAAACUCUAGGAUGUUGCUCUCUGUGGUACGUAAAACUACACAUCGUAAACUACGAGUCAUAUUGGUCCCUUUUCUGGCAUCAGGUGAAGAGAAGAACUUGAUAAAAACAGGUUAUAGUGGUAAAUACUAAGUCAGAAAGUCUCUUACACCCGGAUUUAAAAUCCAGUUGAAGCUAUUUGAAACUGUUCUUCCAACACACAAUGUGCAGCAUUGCAUGACACACGUGUCACUGACACGUGUCCGUCACAGUGACGGACGUGUGAACAACACCAGGAGCCUGAACCCGAGCAGCUCCGCUCAUUCCUUCCCUUCUUCCAUCCAUCACACGUCAGAAGGUCUGCUGCUGACAUGAUCCACGUCUCCACAGAGCAGAGCGGGGCGAAGAGGGCGCCCCUCGGUGUUCGUCAACAGUAACUACAUACUGACGAUAGUGCAUGUACUCUGUGUCGGACUUGAAAUAUGUGUUUCCGGUGCAGAGAGGAAAAAAAGGCUUUAAUUAUAACUUUUGGUCACUUGCAUAUCUGUCUGAUAUCAUUUUACUAGUGAGAGAUGGAUGUAGGUUCUGCACACGUUCAGCCUGAUGUAACGUAAAAACGAUGAUUAGAAAAACAAACUGGUGAUACGGUAUCUUUUAGUCGUGUGAUUGUGUCUUUUUAUAACCACAUUUUGCUUCACCAUCAUCCAAUUUAACGCUUCUGCUAAACUCAUUUAACAUAUAUCUGGAUAGAUGUAUUUACGUGUGUAUAUCUGGAUAGAUGUAUUUACGUGUGUAUAUCAGGAUAGAUGUAUUUACGUGUGUAUAUCUGGAUAGAUGUAUUUACGUGUGUAUAUCUGGAUAGAUGUAUUUACGUGUGUAUAUCUGGAUAGAUGUAUUUACGUGUGUAUAUCUGGAUAGAUGUAUUUACGUGUGUAUAUCUGGAUAGAUGUAUUUAGGUGUGUAUAUCAGGAUAGAUGUAUUUACGUGUGUAUAUCUGGAUAGAUGUAUUUACGUGCGUAUAUCUGGAUAGAUGUAUUUACGUGCGUAUAUCUGGAUAGAUGUGUUUACGUGUGUAUAUCUGGAUAGAUGUAUUUACGUGCGUAUAUCUGGAUAGAUGUAUUUACGUGCGUAUAUCUGGAUAGAUGUAUUUACGUGCGUAUAUCUGGAUAAAGGUAUUUACGGGUGGAUAUCUGGAUAGAUGUAUUUACGGUGCUGAAUCCACGUGGGAAGAGAAGACCCCGAUCUGUGAGGUUGAGUAACAUGGCGGCGCUGGUCGGACCACCCGUAAGGAUCAGAUAAGUGUUUGUGGCGAGCCUGGCCCGGAUCAGCUGGCACAGGGAAUUACACUGAUGUAGAAGUGCCCGCCCCCCCCCCCGGCCCCCCGGCCCCCGCUGCCUUAUAACCACACUGUUCCCUUGUAAUAGAUUUCAGCAGGUUUUUAGAUUUCCUCUGCCAUUGUUUAUUAUUGUUCCAGAUGACAGAGUGCAGAGUUGAGGGUGGAGGAGCUGAUGGUGGUGCUGCGUUGACGUGCGCGCCUGCUCUGGAUUUCCUACACGUAUGAGAACCAAAUGUCAUGACAGGGAUCAGAGGAAAAUCAUCCAGAUGGAGAUAUGAGAGAGGGCCUUCACAAGCGUGUGUGUCUGUGUCUGUCUGUGUGUGCCUGUGUGUACCUGUGUGUGUCUGUGUAUACCUGUGUGUACCUGUGUGUGUGUACCUGUGUGUGUCUGUGUAUACCGGUGUGUACCUGUGUGUACC